UACGUAGGGGGCUAGCGUUGUCCGGAAUUACUGGGCGUAAAGGGCUCGUAGGUGGCCAACUAAGUCAGACGUGAAAUCCCUCGGCUUAACCGGGGAACUGCAUCUGAUACUGGAUGGCUUGAGUUUGGGAGAGGGAUGCGGAAUUCCAGGUGUAGCGGUGAAAUGCGUAGAUAUCUAGAGGAACACCGGUGGCGAAGGCGGCAUCCUGGACCAACACUGACACUGAGGAGCGAAAGCGUGGGGAGCGAACAGG
rnacentral:rRNA from 1 species